UCUCGCUCCUGCUGCUGUCGGUGACAGUCCAACGUAGUGGCACCUACCUGUGUCUCCUAUGUCCUCCACCUGGCAAUCCAGACAUCCAUGAGAGUCACACACAGCUCAGAGUGGUGAAGAGAUCAGGGCAGCACAGGAGUUUCCCAGGAGAUUCCCAUUAACCUGAUGUAACCCAUCCGGAGACAGACUGUACCUGCUCGCUCUAACACAACACAGGACACAAACUGCUAUGUCACACUCCAGAGGCUCAGGGCCCCGCCCCCUCCCACACCAUCUAGAGGAGAGGGCAUCCACGUUACCAUGCACGGCACUCCCGCUGGGCCUCCAGGUGUUCCUUCCCAGCCCAAGACUCACCCCAGCAGAAAGACUCUCCCAGAUGAGAUAAUAACAGUGGUGUUUUUUGUCCUUUAAACAAUGCAAGUAUUUCCACUGGGAUAGAGUCAAGAACCUACCCAACCCUCCCUAAAGACUCAGACACAGGGAACUGCUGUGUUGAGGCUAAUAGCUUGGCUUUUUCAAAUGGAGAGAAUGACCAAAUCUCCCUUUGUUCCGAAGAACCACUGUGUUUGAGUCAUUUCAGAAGGGGUGAAAGUCUGUUAUUUUGGAAGAGAAUCCAGAACCACUUAUAUCCACAUUCAUCUCUGACACUAUAAUCAGAGUGGUAAUUGAUUAAGAUUCCUAUAAUUUAGCAAUAUAAAUAUAAUGUAUUAGUAUUACGUAGAAGAUCCGUCCCUCUUGCAAUUGGUCCCCUGGGUGCCGAGGAGUCCUCUCAGCUCUUAAGUGUAACCCUAACAGAGAUGGACAGUUAUUAUGUUUGACAGGUAGGGUUUUUUAAAAACAGGAAGUGGGUAGAGGGAUUAUCUUGCACAUGGUUUCAUCCACCAGCUGGCUCUCUCUGCAGCAAUUAUCCUGUGGACAUUCCACAGGAUAUGUACAGAACAUUAACAGACCAUGCACAGGACAAUCCAUUACAUGUGGCCUUUAGGUACUUUGGCAAGG
ensembl:lncRNA